rnacentral:rRNA from 1 species
UAUUGGUCAAUGGGGGCAACCCUGAACCAGCGACGCCGCGUGGGUGAAGAAGGUCUUCGGAUCGUAAAGCCCUUUUCUGGGUGACGAGAUAAGGACGGUAGCCCAGGAAGAAGUCUCGGCUAACUACGUGCCAGCAGCCGCGGUAAAACGUAGGAGACAAGCGUUAUCCGGAGUUACUGGGCGUAAAGGGCGUGCAGGCGGAUAGUUAAGAUGGGUGUGAAAGCGACCGGCUCAACCGGUCGAGGCCACCCAUGACUGGCUGUCUGGAGGGCGGACGAGGGGUGUGGAAUUCCGGGUGUAGUGGUGAAAUGCGUAGAGAUCCGGAGGAACACCAGCGGCGAAGGCGGCACCCUGGGCCGCACCUGACGCUGAGACGCGACAGCACGGGGAGCGAACG